ACGGGUAUAGCUCAGCUGGUAGAGUGGCGGAUUCCAAAUCCGUAGGUCGUGGGUUCGAUCCCUACUGCCCGUG
rnacentral:tRNA from 1 species